CUUGUAUUUCCUUUCUAGAGUAAUUCUAGCUACACUCAGAAUUUUUUUUUUUUUUUUUUGGCAGGGUCUCACUAUACAGUUCAGGAGUUCAGGCUGACCUUGAACUCACUAUGUAGCCAAGGCUGGCCUUGAACUUGCAGUGAUCCUCCUGCCUCAGCCUCCCUCCCGAAUGCUGGGAUUACAGGCCACCAAAUGAUGGAUAGCUUCCCUCUCGUAUUCCAUUCUUCCAUGGCAUUUCUGCCUUGGAGCCAGCCUACCUUGGACUGAAUCCACUGAAACUGUGAGCCAAACUAAACCUCUCCUUCUAUUUGCAGAGUGAAAGAGUUGUAGAGUCAUGAGGCUUCCACACAGAUUUCACAGGAUGGCCUGGGAAGCUAGGGUCUCGUGGAUGCUCCUCCUACUUCAAAAUGAAAAUGUGUGACAGGCCACAUCCCAAAGGCGCUUUCUUUUCUCAGACUCACCAGUGUGAUCAUUCAGUCAGCUCCAGCAUUUUAGGACCAUUGUUCUCCACAGUCACUGGGAGAAAUCUAUCCUCUCUACUUGUGUGGUUGCUUCUGAAGGAAAGGCCUAAAAACAGUGGAACCAUCUGGCCAGAAACCUCUGAAACCAUGGGCCAAAAUAAAUUAUAAAUUUCUUCCUUUAAGUUGUUUCUCAC
rnacentral:lncRNA from 1 species